AUAUUUUGAAAAGCGGAAAUGACGAUGUUUACAUUAUUAGCAUUUCUAAGCUAACAGUUAGCAGGUGAACAGGUAUCGCCUAGAUGCUUUCCCGGUCAGGUUUAACUGUAACCGGUAUCUAUGUAAAGUCUUCCCCAUCUUUUCAGUCAUUCAGAGUAACCUCGGUAACGUUAAGCCGUUUGUGUGACGUCGUCCCAGUGGUCAGCUGUCCGUUGACCGUGCUCUCCCGGUACACACAGCCUGCUUUGCCCGGUGUUUGCAGCUUCCGUGGUUACUGCGGACAGAUGCCCAAAAAACAGAAAAGGGUGAGAGGACAACUGGCCAGUGCUGGGGCAGCAGAGGCUGAAGCUUCCAUUCCGGUGUCUCGGGACAAAAGCGGCUGUGUAACCAUAUUGGUGCAUGCGAAGCCUGGCUCCAAACACAGCAGCAUCACAGAGGUUUCUGCAGAGGCGGUGGGAGUGGCCAUCGGAGCACCUCCAACAGAUGGAGAAGCCAACACUGAGCUUAUUCGCUACCUGGCCGAAGUUCUCCACCUGAAGAAAAGUCACAUCUCUCUCGACAAGGGCUCCAGGUCCAGAGACAAACUGAUCCGAGUGGACUCCUGCCUCAGUCCAGAGGAGGUACUGACCAGACUCAGACAGGCUGCAGGCUGACAGGCGGGAGAAGGAAGUGGAGGGAGGCUAAAAUGGCUGCAGGGCAACAGGAGGAUGGAGGCUUCUAUUACAGUCAUUACCACAGAUCAGAAUUGUCAGUAUUUGCAAGAAAGAAGACAGGCGCAUCCAUCCCACUCGGGCCUGCAAACAUGAGUCCCCUGGGCCCCACAUGAUACUAAAUGCCACACAUGAGCACAUCCUAACUCCGGACGGACAAGAACAGCCCAUCAGUCAUGGACCACAGAAUCAGAGUGCAAUCAGUCAGUUGAGCAGUAAUGAGCUUGGUGUUGUCGAGGUGAAGCUAAAAGGCUUCAAAGAGACAGAGACUCAGUGAUAGAUGAUGACUCUGCAUCAAACACCUCAGCUUUCAUGAAACUGCUGCGUUUUACUUUAGAUUCCCAAUCUGUGCAAACUUAACUUUUUGCUUGUCAGGAUCUGUGCAGCAGAGGAAGGAUUGUUUGCACUACUGUUACAGCAUUACAAAAAAAUUACUUGUGAGUCUGUUCUCAAAGGAUACUCGUUUAGGCUGCUUUCUGCUACUAACUGAAGUGUCAUGGUGUGUCUCUACUGAUCCUGGAUUAGCAACUGACUCCUGCUGCAGCACCUGUCAGGCUGAAGGAUGUCUGAAAGUAGGGAAGAUCCCUGCCAUUGUGGUGAAGUGAUAUACAGUGCCUUGCGAAAGUAUUCGGCCCCCUUGAACUUUGCGACCUUUUACCAC